rnacentral:lncRNA from 13 species
GUUGAGAGCGGACUUGAGUGAAACCAUGCAGAGAGAGACUCUGACGAUCAUUCUCCUUUUACUCUGUGGCUGUAUGAAAAUGACAUGUGCCAGGAGUAUCAAUGCCUGUGUGGACACACAUGGACAGGCCCCCACAGAACAGCUCAAAGGUUGUGUUGUCCACAAAUGUAGGAAAAUCACCAACCGCUGUGUAGAUCAGUUCUUCCAACAGUACCUACCCCUGUUAUUGGCACAAAAUCCAAAAGUUGCCUCAAUUGUCGAACCAAAUGCCAAGCUUUUCAUGGCUGAAAUGACAGAUGCUUAUCUUGAAUGCUGGCUCGAGACGACAGACUCCGAAGUCGGAGAAAAAAGGGCAGAGAGAGAGAUGAAAGACAAUACGUUACGUUAUAUGACAUGCAUGAGCAAACCCAUGACAAACUGGAACUGGUGUCAAGGACUCUUUGAUGAUCUUUUUGCUUCAUCACCAAAGAGGAAACGACAGUACAAAGACUUCCUCAUCUGUUCAAUCCACGGUGGGAUUACUGCAACAGCGAAAUGCUAGAACUUGUUUUACGAGGGGACGGUUAUGGAUUUGCAGGUUUCCAAAGCAACCGUUGACCAGUAGAAACACGACAAAAAAAAUAAAUAAAUGAAUAACGUAUUUUGAAUGUAUCAUCCACAAACACAAGAGUUUUAUUAUACCUUGAAAAUCAUUAUUUUGUUUUAUCUUUAACAUUUUGAAAUGAUUUUUAAAAAAAAAUGUAAAGCACUAAGACUGUCUUUUAUUACAUAGACAAUGAAUAAACAUAUAAAUCACAAUUAAAUGUUCAACUUUGGAUACAAAACACACAUGGGAUUGUUUUUCAAAUCCACAACAAUGACUUCACAGUGUUUGCAACCCACUGUAUUUAAAAUGUCCACAGUAUUUUAGUGUCCACAUUAUUCUACAGUGUCCACAUUAUUCUAGUGUCCACAGUAUUUGUGUCCACAGUAUUUUAGUGUCUAGAGUAUUUUAGUGUCCACAUUAUUCUACAGUGUCCACAGUAUUUGUGUCCACAUUAUUCUACAGUGUGCACAGUAUUUGUGUCCACAGUAUUUUAGUGUCCACAGUAUUCUACAGUGUCCACAUUAUUCUACAGUGUCCACAGUAUUUGUGUCCACAGUAUUUUAGUGUCCACAUUAUUCUAGUGUCCACAGUAUUUGUGUCCACAGUAUUUUACAGUGUCCACAGUAUUUGUGUCCACAGUAUUUUACAGUGUCCACAGUAUUUGUGUCCACAGUAUUCUACAGUGUUCACAGUAUUUCACAGUGUCCACAGUAUUUUACCGUGUCUAGAGUAUUUUACCGUGUCCACCAUAUAUAUAUAUUUGUUGUAUUUUCCCCCCUUUUCGUGAUAUCCAAUAGCGAUCGUCUCAUCGCUUCAACUCCCCAACGGGUUCGGGAGAGGCGAAACAUGACUCGCCAAACUGCGCUUUUUAAUCACCAGCCCGCUUAACCAGGAAGCCAGCCGCACCAAUGUGUCAGAGAAAACACUGUUCAACUGAUGACUGAGGUCAUCCUGCAGGUGCCCGGCCCGCCACAAGGAGUCGCUAGAGCGCAAAUGAGCCAAGUAAAGGCCACCCGGCCAAACCCUCCCCUAAACCCAGACGACGCUGGGCCAAUUGCGCGCCACCCUAUGGGACUCGCGGUCACGGCCGGUUGGGAUACACACUGGGAUCAAACCUGGGUCUGUGGUGACGGGAGGCUGCGCCCACAGUAUUUUAAUGUUCACAGUAUUCUAAUGUCCACAGUAUUCUACAGUGUUCACGGUAUUCUAGUGUCGACAGUAUUCUAGUGUCCAGGGUAUUCUAGUGUUCACGGUAUUCUAGUGUCCACGGUAUUCUAGUGUCCACGGUAUUCUAGUGUCCAGGGUAUUCUAGUGUCCAGGGUAUUCGAGUGUUCACGGUAUUCUAGUGUUCACGGUAUUCUAGUGUUCACGGUAUUCUAGUGUUCACGGUAUUCUAGUGUUCACGGUAUUCUAGUGUCCACGGUAUUCUAGUGUCCACGGUAUUCUAGUGUCGACAGUAUUCUAGUGUUCACUGUAUUCUAGUGUCCACGGUAUUCUAGUGUCCACGGUAUUCUAGUGUUCACGGUAUUCUAGUGUUCACUGUAUUCUAGUGUUCACGGUAUUCUAGUGUUCACGGUAUUCUAGUGUCCACGGUCCAUUCCAAACAAAGUUGAUGCAACUUGUUAUGAGGAUGUUGUAGUAAAUCAGACUACAUUUGAUAAGAGUUGGGCGUAAUAUAUAUAUAUAUAUAUAUCCUUCUCAGUCUUUGCAUAGGGUUUUCACUUUUGAUUGAACCACUAUGUAAAGGAGUUGUGAAGUGAGAAAAUCCAGUUGACAUUCAGCAUCUUUUACUGUAGACCACCAAGGGAAAUCCAUAACACCAAAACAAUCCAGUCCAUCUUUUACUGUAGACCACCAAGGGAAAUCCAUAACACCAAAACAAUCCAGUCCAUCUUUUACUGUAGACCACCAAGUGAAAUCCAUAACACCAAAACAAUCCAGUCCAUCUUUUUACUGUAGACCACCAAGUGAAAUCCAUAACACCAAAACAAUCCAGUCCAUCUUUUACUGUAGACCACCAAGGGAAAUCCAUAACACCAAAACAAUCCAGUCCAUCUUUUUACUGUAGACCACCAAGUGAAAUCCAUAACACCAAAAUAAUCCAGUCCAUCUUUUACUGUAGACCACCAAGGGAAAUCCAUAACACCAAAACAAUCCAGUCCAUCUUUUACUGUAGACCACCAAGUGAAAUCCAUAACACCAAAACAAUCCAGUCCAUCUUUUACUGUAGACCACCAAGGGAAAUCCAUAACACCAAAACAAUCCAGUCCAUCUUUUACUGUAGACCACCAAGGGAAAUCCAUAACACCAAAACAAUCCAGUCCAUCUUUAACUGUAGACCACCAAGUGAAAUCCAUAACACCACAAGUCUAUAUUUUCUAACCAGGUUACUGUAGUAUGACACCAUUCAAAAACAAUCCAGUCCAUCUUUUACUGUAGACCACCAAGUGAAAUCCAUAACACCAAAACAAUCCAGUCCAUCUUUUUACUGUAGACCACCAAGUGAAAUCCAUAACACCAAAACAAUCCAGUCCAUCUUUUUACUGUAGACCACCAAGUGAAAUCCAUAACACCAAAAAAAUCCAGUCCAUCUUUUUACUGUAGACCACCAAGUGAAAUCCAUAACACCACGUCUGUAUUUUCCAACCAGGUUACUGUAGUAUGACACCAUUCAAAAACAAAUGAACCAAACCACUUAUUGAUGCAAUUUUAUUGAGCCACUGGUCAAAUAAGCAUUCACGUUGUCGUUAUAUUGUAAAAGAUGACCAUGUUCUUUAACAAACACAAUAUUACAGAUUCAUCUGUAUUCGUCAUGUAAAAUAUGAUGCAUUACUCAGCGAUAAUUCUAAUCAAAACUUCACCGUGUGGUAGUGAAUAAAUAAACUAUCAUGAGUGUGUGUGUGUGUGCUUUUGCCUGGCAAAUAACAACUCUAGCUAUGCCUCCACCUUCUUUCUCAUCAUUAGUGUGAAAUAAAAUAACCUGUAAUGAAACAACCUGUAAUGAAAUAGCCUGUAAUGAAGUAGCCUGUAAUGAAAUAGCCUGUAGCCAAAGAAAGUCCUGGAACGUUGGACAUUCAACAUGGAUAACCGUCAGAGAAACAGCAUUUAACAAUACAAAUACAAGAAAAUAAUUUAGUUGAACUUAACUAGUGGCCCACCUAUUCAGGUGACCUCUUUACCUCGUAUGAUUCAAAACGGAAACUAAAGUUCUUCUCGGGACAUGGAGUAGUCCUAGCCCGAUUCCCGGAUCUGUUUGUGUCGUCUUGCCAACUUACAACUCAAAAUGACAGCAGUGGAGUUGGUAAUAACAGCACAAACCGAUCUGGGACUCGGGCUAGAGUUGUCCUGUCAUAAGUACCACAAUUCUUGAGAGCGUAAAAUUAUUCUGAACACCUUAAUAAACAUAACAUGCUUCCAUUAAAAUAAAACAUUAUUUUUCCAGAGUCCCAAAUGCUCCCUUAUUCCCUAUAUAGUGCACUACUUUAGACCAGAGCCCUAUGGCACCCUAUUCCCUAUAUAGUGCACUACUUUAGACCAGAGCCCUAUGGCACCCUAUUCCCUAUAUAGUGCACUACUUUAGACCAGAGCCCUAUGGCACCCUAUUCCCUAUAUAGUGCACUACUUUAGACCAGAGCCCUAUGGCNNNNNNNNNNAACUUUUUUAACAAAUCAAAAACUGAAAAAUUGGGCGUGCAAAAUUAUUUAGCCCCUUUACUUUCAGUGCAGCAAACUCUCUCCAGAAGUUCAGUGAGGAUCUCUGAAUGAUCCAAUGUUGACCUAAAUGACUAAUGAUGAUAAAUACAAUCCACCUGUGUGUAAUCAAGUCUCCGUAUAAAUGCACCUGCACUGUGAUAGUCUCAGAGGUCCG